AGUGAACGCUGGCGGUAGGCCUAACACAUGCAAGUCGAACGGCAGCACAGGAGAGCUUGCUUUCUGGGUGGCGAGUGGCGGACGGGUGAGGAAUACAUCGGCAUCUACCUUUUCGUGGGGGAUAACGUAGGGAAACUUACGCCACUACCGCAUCCGACCUACGGGUUAAAGUGGGGGCCCGCAAGGCCUCACGCGGUUAGAGGAGCCGAUGUCCGAUUAGCUAGUUGCCGGGGUAAUGGCCCACCAAGGCGACGAUCGGUAGCUGGUCUGAGAGGAUGAUCAGCCACACUGGAACUGAGAAACGGUCCAGGCUCCUACGGGAGGCAGCAGUGGGGAAUAUUGGACAAUGGGCGCAAGCCUGAUCCAGCCAUACCGCGUGGGUGAAGAAGGCCUUCGGGUUGUAAAGCCCUUUUGUUGGGAAAGAAAUCCUGUCGAUUAAUACUCGGUGGGGAUGACGGUACCCAAAGAAUAAGCACCGGCUAACUUCGUGCCAGCAGCCGCCGUAACAC
rnacentral:rRNA from 1 species